rnacentral:rRNA from 1 species
UACAGAGGUCCCAAGCGUUUGUUCGGAUUCAUUGGGCGUAAAGGGUGCGUAGGUGGCGCCGUAAGUCAGGUGUGAAAUCUCGGGGCUUAACUCCGAAACUGCAUUUGAUACUGCGGUGCUUUGAGGACUGGAGAGGAGACUGGAAUUUACGGUGUAGCAGUGAAAUGCGUAGAGAUCGUAAGGAAGACCAGUGGCGAAGGCGGGGUCUCUGGACAGUUCCUGACACUGAGGCACGAAGGCCAGGGGGAGCAAAACGGGG